UACGUAGGGUGCGAGCGUUAAUCGGAAUUACUGGGCGUAAAGCGUGCGCAGGCGGCGCGUUAAGACAGGUGUGAAAGCCCCGAGCUUAACUUGGGAAUUGCGCUUGUGACUGGCGUGCUGGAGUGUGGCAGAGGGAGGUGGAAUUCCACGUGUAGCAGUGAAAUGCGUAGAUAUCAGGAGGAAUACCGAUGGCGAAGGCAGGUCUCUGGGCUGACACUGACGCUCAUGCACGAAAGCGUGGGGAGCAAACAGG
rnacentral:rRNA from 1 species